GACGAACGCUGGCGGUGUGCUUAACACAUGCAAGUCGAACGGAAAGGCCCUGCUUUUGUGGGGUGCUCGAGUGGCGAACGGGUGAGUAACACGUGAGUAACCUGCCCUUGACUUUGGGAUAACUUCAGGAAACUGGGGCUAAUACCGGAUAGGAGCUCCUGCUGCAUGGUGGGGGUUGGAAAGUUUCGGCGGUUGGGGAUGGACUCGCGGCUUAUCAGCUUGUUGGUGGGGUAGUGGCUUACCAAGGCUUUGACGGGUAGCCGGCCUGAGAGGGUGACCGGCCACAUUGGGACUGGGAUACGGCCCAGACUCCUACGGGAGGCAGCAGCGGGGAAUAUUGCACAAUGGGCGGAAGCCUGAUGCAGCAACGCCGCGUGCGGGAUGACGGCCUUCGGGUUGUAAACCGCUUUCGCCUGUGACGAAGCGUGAGUGACGGUAAUGGGUAAAGAAGCACCGGCUAACUACGUGCCAGCAGCCGCGGUGAUACGUAGGGUGCGAGCGUUGUCCGGAUUUAUUGGGCGUAAAGGGCUCGUAGGUGGUUGAUCGCGUCGGAAGUGUAAUCUUGGGGCUUAACCCUGAGCGUGCUUUCGAUACGGGUUGACUUGAGGAAGGUAGGGGAGAAUGGAAUUCCUGGUGGAGCGGUGGAAUGCGCAGAUAUCAGGAGGAACACCAGUGGCGAAGGCGGUUCUCUGGGCCUUUCCUGACGCUGAGGAGCGAAAGCGUGGGGAGCGAACAGGCUUAGAUACCCUGGUAGUCCACGCUGUAAACGGUGGGUACUAGGUGUGGGGUCCAUUCCACGGGUUCCGUGCCGUAGCUAACGCUUUAAGUACCCCGCCUGGGGAGUACGGCCGCAAGGCUAAAACUCAAAGGAAUUGACGGGGCCCCGCACAAGCGGCGGAGCAUGCGGAUUAAUUCGAUGCAACGCGUAGAACCUUACCUGGGUUUGACAUGGAUCGGGAGUGCUCAGAGAUGGGUGUGCCUCUUUUGGGGUCGGUUCACAGGUGGUGCAUGGCUGUCGUCAGCUCGUGUCGUGAGAUGUUGGGUUAAGUCCCGCAACGAGCGCAACCCUUGUUCACUGUUGCCAGCACGUUAUGGUGGGGACUCAGUGGAGACCGCCGGGGUCAACUCGGAGGAAGGUGGGGAUGACGUCAAGUCAUCAUGCCCCUUAUGUCCAGGGCUUCACGCAUGCUACAAUGGCUGGUACAGAGAGUGGCGAGCCUGUGAGGGUGAGCGAAUCUCGGAAAGCCGGUCUCAGUUCGGAUUGGGGUCUGCAACUCGACCUCAUGAAGUCGGAGUCGCUAGUAAUCGCAGAUCAGCAACGCUGCGGUGAAUACGUUCCCGGG
rnacentral:rRNA from 1 species